rnacentral:rRNA from 1 species
UUAGCGGCGGACGGGUGAGUAACACGUGGGUAACCUACCUAUAAGACUGGGAUAACUUCGGGAAACCGGAGCUAAUACCGGAUAACAUUUGGAACCGCAUGGUUCUAAAGUGAAAGAUGGUUUUGCUAUCACUUAUAGAUGGACCCGCGCCGUAUUAGCUAGUUGGUAAGGUAACGGCUUACCAAGGCGACGAUACGUAGCCGACCUGAGAGGGUGAUCGGCCACACUGGAACUGAGACACGGUCCAGACUCCUACGGGAGGCAGCAGUAGGGAAUCUUCCGCAAUGGGCGAAAGCCUGACGGAGCAACGCCGCGUGAGUGAUGAAGGGUUUCGGCUCGUAAAACUCUGUUAUUAGGGAAGAACAAAUGUGUAAGUAACUGUGCACGUCUUGACGGUACCUAAUCAGAAAGCCACGGCUAACUACGUGCCAGCAGCCGCGGUAAUACGUAGGUGGCAAGCGUUAUCCGGAAUUAUUGGGCGUAAAGCGCGCGUAGGCGGUUUCUUAAGUCUGAUGUGAAAGCCCACGGCUCAACCGUGGAGGGUCAUUGGAAACUGGGAAACUUGAGUGCAGAAGAGGAAAGUGGAAUUCCAUGUGUAGCGGUGAAAUGCGCAGAGAUAUGGAGGAACACCAGUGGCGAAGGCGACUUUCUGGUCUGUAACUGACGCUGAUGUGCGAAAGCGUGGGGAUCAAACAGGAUUAGAUACCCUGGUAGUCCACGCCGUAAACGAUGAGUGCUAAGUGUUAGGGGGUUUCCGCCCCUUAGUGCUGCAGCUAACGCAUUAAGCACUCCGCCUGGGGAGUACGACCGCAAGGUUGAAACUCAAAGGAAUUGACGGGGACCCGCACAAGCGGUGGAGCAUGUGGUUUAAUUCGAAGCAACGCGAAGAACCUUACCAAAUCUUGACAUCCUUUGAAAACUCUAGAGAUAGAGCCUUCCCCUUCGGGGGACAAAGUGACAGGUGGUGCAUGGUUGUCGUCAGCUCGUGUCGUGAGAUGUUGGGUUAAGUCCCGCAACGAGCGCAACCCUUAAGCUUAGUUGCCAUCAUUAAGUUGGGCACUCUAGGUUGACUGCCGGUGACAAACCGGAGGAAGGUGGGGAUGACGUCAAAUCAUCAUGCCCCUUAUGAUUUGGGCUACACACGUGCUACAAUGGACAAUACAAAGGGCAGCUAAACCGCGAGGUCAUGCAAAUCCCAUAAAGUUGUUCUCAGUUCGGAUUGUAGUCUGCAACUCGACUACAUGAAGCUGGAAUCGC